rnacentral:tRNA from 1 species
GAUUCGAUGACUGAUAAUAGUGGUAGAUUUUUAAUCUAUUUAUGAGUUUUAACUCUCGAGUUA